UAUCGAUCGAUCGAGGGAGGCACAGCCACCAUGCGUGCACAUAUAUAUAACCAUAUAUCUUAGCUACAUAUGUAGUUGCAUGCAUAGCUCGAACGAACAAAGGAUCAAUCCGAGAUCGAUCGAUCCGUCGAUAUGGAGAACGGACAGCCGCAGCCUCCUCCAGGCUACCCGACGGUGGACCCGAAACAGCAGGCAGGCGGCAGGAGGAGAUGCUGCUGCGGGCCGUGGCGCCGCAGGACCAAGCAGCGUGGGCGUGGGGAGACCAGCUUCAUCGAAGGAUGCCUUGCCGCGCUCUGUUGCUGCUGGCUUUGCGAGCUGUGCUGCGAUUGAAGGGGAUCCAUGCAGCAUGCAUGCCCACGGUUACAGUCUUACAGGUCACCACAGGCUCUAGCUGCGGCUCUACGUCGUCGGAGCUCUCACAUAAAUAAUUCAGUCUUGCUCUGUUAGAUGUUCUACGUCAUGACCUAGUCCUUUGUGAUCUAGUACAAUACGCGUAGUUAUCUUGCAUCGUAUCAAGGCCCUGUAUCUUUUGUAUCAUCAAAUUAUCUCAUUAUCUGUAUUCGACAUAUACUUAUA